GCCCACUUGAUGGCGAUAAUGCUCCUUUACGUGGGUGUCGCCAACCGGCAGGAAACCAUUGCAAUGUAAUGGAACACAGAAAAGAAGCAGAAGAAGAAGGUUGGCGUUGUGUUCAAAGACAUCGUACUGCGAAGGUUCUUUACAAGAGAGUAAUCCACAGCACUGUUGAGCCAGCACUUUCACUGAGCUAAAAGACUACAAUGACUACAGCCUUGUCCUGAACAACCCCCUUUCUGUUUCCGGUGGCGGAUUACUACCAACAGACAAUGAGGCUUCUAUAGAAAAGCAGUGGAUGAGACAAAAUGUCAAAUAAAUCGUCACGGAAACCACAGUUUGCUACGAUUUUUAUGUCAGAACAUCAGCGAACACCACUGACCACUCCGUGAGUUUCAAGGCUUUGAAAACAAACGUUUAGAGUGGUUUUAGGACAGAUUCACACAUGGCCAUAGGCAGCAGUGUUAAAGGUCAUAUGUAUAGCUGUUUCUUCAAAACGAAUAUUUUUUCAAAAAUAAUACAUCCACAGAACGUCUAGAAAGGCUUGCCAGAUUGUGAUAGCUGCAGAGGAAUGGCGUCAUCCCAGCGCUAUCCGUCGCAAAUUCUAGCCAAGCAACGGAGAAGUCAAAAUCAGAAUCAACAUCAGUUCAGGUUUUGAUCGUUGGUGUCAGCUGAAGGCAGAAAAAGGGCUAAAAAGCCACGCAGAGGUUACCGCUUUCCUUCUGGACAGGCGGAAGUGUCGCGCCCUCCUCCACCCCAUUCACCUCCAGUCACCUGAUCCAGAGCCCAGGACAAGCUCAUCAAAAGCCCACUCCUCUUCACAUCCAGAUCCUCAGCUCCCUCUUCAUCUUAUCACCACCACCAGCAUCUAGACUCCAUCGGGGGGGGGGUCCUUACUACGUCUCUACAACCCUUCUGGAAUAGAUGACAUCACGAUGGGGUCUAAUCGCCAAAGACUUUUCAGAUUUCUCAUACUUAGGUGUACAUGUAAAUAAAUAUUCUUUUCUCUCAGAG